UACGUAGGGUGCAAGCGUUAAUCGGAAUUACUGGGCGUAAAGCGUGCGCAGGCGGUUUUGUAAGCCAGAUGUGAAAUCCCCGGGCUUAACCUGGGAAUGGCAUUUGGGACUGCAAGGCUGGAGUAUGGGCAGAGGGGACUAGAAUUCCGUGGUGUAGCAGUGAAAUGCGUAGAUAUCAGGAGGAAUACCGAUGGCGAAGGCAGGUCCCUGGGCCAAUACUGACGCUCAUGCACGAAAGCGUGGGGAGCAAACAGG
rnacentral:rRNA from 1 species